UGAGCUGGCUAUGUGGUAGUGACUGGCAUAUGUAUGAGCUGAGCUGCUCGUUUCAUUCCUUUUGUGAACGCUCUGCCUUCCCCUUUUCGGCAUUUUUGUCUGUCAACUGAAUAUUUCAGAUCUGGUGUGUUUGAGGUGCACUCAGGAUUGCUACUAAAUAGAUUACCAUCUUGGUCUCUAUUUUGUUCAACGUAAAUAUUGUCAUGUGUUCAUUUUUCAAUGAGGCAUCCAUUAUUUUGCUCCUCUCUUUUAGUUUUCUUGUUUACUCAACACUUAAACAUAUUUAGAGUUAUACCCCCCUCCGUCCCAAAAUUCUUGUCAACGUGACUUGAUACAUCCGUAUUUAGACAAAUCUAAGACAAGGAUUUUGGGACGGAGGGAGUACAACGGGCUGCGUCUUUAGCUAUCUCUACACAUUUAGGUUGAUUGUAUGUAGUUCAGUGCUAAGCCUAACCAGUCCUUAUGUGGCCGUUCUAGAAAAAAGCCUAUGUGGGGACCAAAAAAAAA
rnacentral:lncRNA from 1 species